UACGGAAGGCAGCAGUGGGGAAUAUUGCACAAUGGGCGCAAGCCUGAUGCAGCCAUGCCGCGUGUAUGAAGAAGGCCUUCGGGUUGUAAAGUACUUUCAGUCGUGAGGAAGGUGUUAAGGUUAAUAACCUUAGCAAUUGACGUUAGCGACAGAAGAAGCACCGGCUAACUCCGUGCCAGCAGCCGCGGUAAUACGGAGGGUGCGAGCGUUAAUCGGAAUUACUGGGCGUAAAGGGCACGCAGGCGGUUAAUUAAGUUGGAUGUGAAAUCCCCGGGCUUAACCUGGGAAUGGCAUUCAAGACUGGUUAGCUAGAGUCUUGUAGAGGGGGUAGAAUUCCAUGUGUAGCGGUGAAAUGCGUAGAGAUGUGGAGGAAUACCGGCGGCGAAGGCGGCCCCUGGACAAAGACUGACGCUCAUGUGCGAAAGCGUGGGGAGCAAACG
rnacentral:rRNA from 1 species